rnacentral:sRNA from 1 species
AAUAACACAUAGCUGAGUGGAUGAUAGAGCAGAUUGGUACCCCUCGAAUAAGCAUUGUCAACCUUAGCUUCGCCGCGGUUGACAAUGUUUUCUCGGGGUUACAAUAUGCUCUAUCACCCUCUCAGCUAUAUGUUAUU